GACAGAGGGGGCAAGCGUUGCUCGAAAUUACUGGGCGUAAAGGGCGCGUAGGCGGGAUGGCAAGUCGGUCGUGAAAUCCCUCGGCUCAACUGAGGAUCGUCGAUCGAUACUGCCGUUCUUGAGGAUUGCAGAGGAGACUGGAAUUCCCGGUGUAGCGGUGAAAUGUGUAGAGAUCGGGAGGAACACCGGUGGCGAAGGCGGGUCUCUGGGCAAUUCCUGACGCUGAGGCGCGAAAGCGUGGGGAGCAAACGGG
rnacentral:rRNA from 1 species